GUGGGUGUAAUAGUGACAGUGGGGGGUGAUUAGUGAUAUGGGGGGUAGCAAGACAGUGGGGGUGACUAGUGACAGUGGGGUGAUUAGUGACAGUGGGGGGGUGAUUAGUGACAGUGGGGGGUGACACAGUGACAGAGUGAAGGAGGUGGUGACUGUCACUAGUCACCCCAUCCCUCCCUCUGUCACUAAUCACCACCUCCCUCACUAGUCACCCCUUUCCUCCCUCACUCUGUCACUAGUCACCCCCUCCCUCUCUCUGUCACUAGUCACCCCCUCCCUCUCUCUGUCACUAGUCACACCCUCCCUCUCUCUGUCACUAGACUAGUGAUUAGUGA